UCAAGUUCUGGUCCUCGUAA
rnacentral:siRNA from 1 species